rnacentral:lncRNA from 10 species
CUUCUAACCAAAAUAUUGGACAGAGAGUUUCUAUUGUGGUAAUAUUUUGCUUAAUUAUUAUCCUUAUAGCAGGGAUAAUAGCCACCAACAAAAAAGAAGCAUGGGAGUUUUACUAUCACUGAGUUUGCUAGAACUUCUUAUUGAGUUUGGUAAUAUGUCACACCCUGGCUAUGAAAAGAAGUUUCAGGAAAAAUCUAGCCAAGGCUAACACUAAAGUUACUCUAGCCACCCAAAUCCAAUGUCACUAAUCCUAAAAGGAAUGUUACUUUUAUAUUAAUGUUUCUAGUAAUGUACAACGACAACUAGUGGAAGGAAGCAGGCAUUACAAUCCAUUGGUAUAACUGACAGGUAUCAAACUUCACUGUCAGUUAUGGUCUAUAGGACCCCCACUAACAGUGGUAAUCUUAAUGCUCAUAUUCUGACGCUGUAUUUUAAACCUUCAUGUAAAACUUAUCUCUUUUUACCUAGAAGCAAUCAAACCCCAAAUGGUGCUGUGAGCAGAGCCACACAUGGACACGCCAUUCUUCCGAGAACCCUUAGAUCAACCUCAGGAGAAGGCCGAACUGCUGCUCCCUGAGAUGACACCACUUUUCAGCAGGGAGUAGUCAGAAAUAAUCGUCAUCCAACACCCCCUAACAGCAAGACUAAAACAACUUUACCAGAUUGAAACACUCAAGACAAAGGAGCCCAGGAACAAAAUUCAUCAGAAAACUAGAGGAAGUUUUCAUGGAGUUGCUAAUUAGAAAAGCCUAAAAUUCAUAUGGAACCCAAAAAGACUCAAAUAGCCAAAGCAAUCCUAAGAAAAAAGAACAAAGCUAGCGGUAUCAUAUUACUUGACUUUAAAUUAUGUUACAAGGCCACAGUAACCAAAACAGCAUGGUAUGGGUAUAAAAAUAGAUACAUAGAUCAAUGGAACAGAAUAGAGAACCCAGAAAUAAAGCCACAUGCCUAAAACCAACUGAUCUUUGACAAAGCCAACAAAAAUAUACACUGGGGAAAGAACACCCUAUUCAAUAAAUGGUGCUGGGAAAAUUGGAUAGUCAUAUGCAGAAAAAUGAAACUGGACCCAUAUCUCUCAUCACAUACACAAAUUAACUUAAGAUGGGCCGGAGACCUAAAUGGAACACUGAUGCUAAAUGAAUAUCCUAGAAAAAAAUGAGGAAAAACUCUUCUGGACACUAGCCUAGACAAGGAAUUCAGGACCAAGACCUCAAAAGCAAAUACAACAAAAACAAAAAUAGACACAUGAAACUUAAUUAAACUAAAAAGCUUCUGCGCAGCAAAAGAAAUAAUCAACAGAGUAAACAGACAACUUACAGAAUGGGAGAAAAUACUUGCAAAUUAUGCAUCCAACAAUGGAUUAAUAUCCAGAAUCUACAAAGAACUCAAAAGACAAAAACAAAUAACUUCAUUAAAAAGUGGGCCAAGGACAUGAACAGAAAUUUUUCAAAAAAAGACACGUAAGCAGCCAACAAACAUGAAAAAAAAAAUGCUCAAAGUCACUGAUCAUCAGAGAAAUGCACAUUAAAGCCACAAUAAGAUACCAUCUUACACCUGGAUGUAAAAUACCAUCUUACAUUCUGGAUGGUCACAGAAUGGAUAUUAUUAAAAGUCAAAAACAACAGAUGUUAGCAAGGAUGCAGAAAAAAGGAAUUGCUUAUGCACUGUUGGUGAGAAUGUAAAUUAGUGAAACCUUUAUGGAAAACAGUACGGAUAUUGCUCAAAGAACUAAAAAUAGAACCACCAGUUGACCCAGCAAUCCCACUACUGGUAUCUACCCAAAGUAAAAGAAAUCAUUAUAUCAAAAAGACACCUGUACACAUAUGUUUAUUGUAACACUAUUCACAAUAGC